UCCUCCCUCUUUCUUCGUGCUUAACACAUGCAAGUCGAACGGAAAGGCCCUGCUUUUGUGGGGUGCUCGAGUGGCGAACGGGUGAGUAACACGUGAGUAACCUGCCCUUGACUUUGGGAUAACUUCAGGAAACUGGGGCUAAUACCGGAUAGGAGCUCCUGCUGCAUGGUGGGGGUUGGAAAGUUUCGGCGGUUGGGGAUGGACUCGCGGCUUAUCAGCUUGUUGGUGGGGUAGUGGCUUACCAAGGCUUUGCCGGGUAGCCGGCCUGAGAGGGUGACCGGCCACAUUGGGACUGAGAUACGGCCCAGACUCCUACGGGAGGCAGCAGUGGGGAAUAUUGCACAAUGGGCGGAAGCCUGAUGCAGCAACGCCGCGUGUGGGAUGACGGCCUUCGGGUUGUAAACCGCUUUCGCCUGUGACGAAGCGUGAGUGACGGUAAUGGGUAAAGAAGCACCGGCUAACUACGUG
rnacentral:rRNA from 1 species